UGAGUUUGCUAUGAGGAUAUAAAGCUCCCUCUUCUGAUUAUUAUGAAGAAAUUUGCUGGCAGAAUCGAACCUAAAAUUAUUAGCCACCACUGAGUAA